rnacentral:lncRNA from 1 species
AGAAACUUGGAUAAAUGCCUCAAAGUUUGAAUAAAAGAGGAACAGAAUUAAGAUCAAAUGACGGUUUGAGAGACACUCAAGUGUGUGUUAGAGUAGUAGCUCAAAAUGGUGCUCCAUGCCAAGCAAUGUGAGAACUUUCACCUGACUCGUGACAGUACUCCAUCCAUGGUGACAGGUUAAUCUAAACUAAACUUUUAAAAAAUGAAGAUCUGUAUCUUUUCAUCUCAUAGGGUCACCUGGACCUAAAGGUAUUAUGAAAAUUAUUUCUUUCCUGGUAAACUGUAGUAAAGAGUUUCAAUUAUUAAGACUCUGAUUUGUCUUGUAUUACAGGCAAUAAUUUAUUUACUAAUGUACAGAGUUCAUUGACCUCCCCACCUUCCAGGGACACCGGGAUCUGGGGCCUACGUGAAACAAUGUGUCUGGGCUCAGAGCAGGAGAUGGCCAGCUUGACUCUGACCCCAAGGCACAAAUUAAUAAGAAAAUGUCUUGCAUCAUGUUCCUGAUCUGGGCUGGCCACCCCAACGGGCACCUGGCUGGACUAUAGAAACAUCCCAUCCGUGGGAACAAAAAGAUAAAAACAUCCCAUCCAUGGGAACAAGAAGAAAUAACUCAAAGUAUCCAAAUGUCUGAAACUCUGAGUCAGAACCCAGAAAAUACUAGAAUAAAAGGGAGUUACAAGCAGAGAACAAUUAGAAGUCUGACUGAGGAGAGGACGUUUUGCCUCAGACCGAGACAAUCGGCACUCCUGCCCACCAUACAAAAUAUUGGGACUUCCCCAGCUGAUUGUGGUGUGGAUGUUGAAAUCCUAUUCCAGUUCUAAUUUGCUGUGAUCUGUUCCCUGAUGUUAUAUAAAAUGGCCAGAAUGUACUGCUACUGCUGAGAGGUACGUGCCAGGGUCAUUUCUUUUGGAUAUGAGCUUUUCCCUCCCUCCUGGGUGUUAGAUCCCACCAACAUCUCUCCUCUCUUCUUUCUCAGGGCUGACACUCACUGCUCCAGCUCAAGAUCAAGUGCCACUCCUUCUAGUUCUGAGUAGAAAUGGGAGAAACUCAAAUGGCCUAGCUGUUCCAAAUCAAUUUCCCCUAUCAGUCUCCUUGACAACAAACAUUCCCAACUUCAUUGCUGCAUCCUGCCUGCAAUGACUCAGCACGGAACUCUCUGAUGCUGCUCCUACUUUUGCAGCAAGAAUCUGCUGUACAUGUUCUGGGAAGUGAUUUAUUCAGGUUUGAGAUCUGAGCAUGUCUACUUUCUAACCUUUAGGGUUCCUCUCGGUAUUUCUAUCAAGUAGCUUCACAGUUUCUUGUUUUGCUGGACAUCUAUAGGUUUAUUCUUAUUUGUAAAAUACUUUUUUAUUUCAUUCAUGGAAUGUUAAGUGAGAGGCAGAGUGUAUGUCUUCCUCACUUUUUCAUUUUGUUUCAAUCUUUUAACAAUCUCCACCAUUAUAUUGUUCAUGUUGUAAACUCACUCAUCUUUCGGUAUCUUGAACAUUGUACUCUUUUAUACACAAUUUGUUGCUUUAAUAAAGAUUUUUAUGUGAAAAUGUGCUUCUCUCUU